UGGCUCAGAGGUUAAAGUGUCUGCCUGGAAUGCAGGAGACCUGGGUUCAAUCCCGG
rnacentral:tRNA from 1 species